rnacentral:rRNA from 1 species
CAAAUGAAUUGACGGGACCCGCACAAGCAGCGGAGCGUGUGGUUUAAUUCGAUGCUACACGAAGAACUUACCAGGGUUUGACAUGCAAGUGGUAGGAAUCUGAAAAGUGUCCGACCUUCGGGGAGCUUGCACAGGUGCUGCAUGGCUGUCGUCAGCUCGUGUCGUGAGAUGUUCGGUUAAGUCCGCUAACGAGCGCAACCCUCACUGUGUGUUAUACGUGUCACACGGGACUGCCGGUUUUAAGCCGGAGGAAGGCGGGGAUGACGUCAAGUCAGCAUGGCCUUUAUAUCCUGGGCUACACACACGCUACAAUGGUCUGUACAAUAGGUUGCCAAGCCGCGAGGCGGAGCCAAUCCUUAAAGCAGGCCUCAGUUCAGAUUGUAGGCUGCAACUCGCCUGCAUGAAGAUGGAGUUGCUAGUAACCGCAGGUCAGCAAUACUGCGGUGAAUACGUUCCCGGGUCUU